rnacentral:rRNA from 1 species
UGGGGAAUUUUGGACAAUGGGCGAAAGCCUGAUCCAGCAAUGCCGCGUGUGUGAAGAAGGCCUUCGGGUUGUAAAGCACUUUUGUCCGGAAAGAAAUCCUUGGCUCUAAUACAGUCGGGGGAUGACGGUACCGGAAGAAUAAGCACCGGCUAACUACGUGCCAGCAGCCGCGGUAAUACGUAGGGUGCAAGCGUUAAUCGGAAUUACUGGGCGUAAAGCGUGCGCAGGCGGUUUGCUAAGACCGAUGUGAAAUCCCCGGGCUCAACCUGGGAACUGCAUUGGUGACUGGCAGGCCAGAGUAUGGCAGAGGGGGGUAGAAUUCCACGUGUAGCAGUGAAAAUGCGUAGAGAUGUGGAGGAAUACCGAUGGCGAAGGCAGCCCCCUGGGCCAAUACUGACGCUCAUGCACGAAAAGCGUGGGGAGCAAAACAGGAUUAGAUACCCUGGUAGUCCACGCCCUAAAACGAUGUCAACUAGUUGUUGGGGAUUC